ACUAAACGGGAAGUAAGAUUCAUUGCCUGCUCAUCGUCGGAGCAGGAAAGAACGGAUUAGCAGACGUUGAGUUUCAUUUCUCUCACGUGUUCACUGUAAAUUAAAGUUACCGUACGACCGAUAGAUUUCGGAGUAUUUCGACCGGAUUUUGUAAUCCUCGAAUAACGAAAUAAUCCAUCGGUGUCUCCUCACCACCCAUCGAAGAAUUUUGAAUCCAGAGAAAGUUUGACAGAGAAAGUAAGUGAUGAAGACCAUGUCGGUAGAUACGUCGCUUCGCCUGGCAAGAAUUCUAUCGACCUUGACAUUGCUAUGGCCGCUAGCUCCUGAUGCGAAGCGUACCGAAGUCAUAAGACGUCGGAGUUUGACGCUCUUAUCGGUAGCUCAUGUAGUCGUAAUGUUUCCAACAAUGAUAAGUGGAACGCUCGAAAACAUGGAAAACCGCCUUGACAUGUUCCUGGGUAGCACAGACAUGAUAGGAGUCGGUAGUCUGCUACUGUAUAUCGGUAUCUGCUACAUCGAGGAAACUCGCCUUCAUGGGUUGAUAACCGAAAUGAGGUCGUUCAUGAAAGAAGCUAACGACGAGGAAUUGGCUGCGAUUCAGUUCUACAUGAAAAAGUGUUCAUUGCUACACAUGGGACUUUUCGUGGUGGCCUUGUCCAUACCAUUAUCAUAUAUUUUUUCACCUCUUAUUCAAGAUCAGCCCUUGCCCGGUAGAACCGCAUACCCGUUUUCAAUAGAGCCACUUUGGAUUUAUAUUAUGCUAUUUAUAUCACACUCUGUUAUUAUUAUUCAAAUUCAAGGCGCAAUAUGCAUGACCGUAACGUUUGUGGUUCUAACCUGGUUCGGCGCUGCAAGAUUUGAUAUGGUGUGCAUGGACAUCAAUAAGGCAACCACAGAAGCUGAAUUGAAGAAAUGUGCUGAAAAGCACCAGGAAUCGAUAGACUUUGCGAACAGACUGUCGACGAGUGUGGGCCGUAUGGCUUUUGGGGUGGCCGUAAGCAAUUUGCUGGGCGUUAUAUUUGGAGGAGUCGUGAUCACUUACAGGAAAUUUGAUUCCAUUGAUUUCUUCAAGUUGAUGAUCUUCAUGUUGAUAGCCACGAUUCACCUGUUUCUGUACGCUUGGCCAGCGGACUACUUGGCUCAGUCGAGCCAACGCGUAGCGGAAUACAUUUUACAUGGCGAGUGGGUAGGAAAAUCGCCUAGGAUGCAUAGCUCGUUAUUGCUUAUGAUGCGAAGGGCCAAUGACCGAGCCACAAUCAAGGUUGAUGGCAUGCUUCCGCCCUUGAACCUGCAAAUGUUUGGAAGUGGGUUAUCAACCAGUUUCUCGUACAUCGCAACGCUGCUCGCUAUUUUCGACGAGUGAAUACGGAAGCAGAUAAUCCGUAAGGUCACAAUGCUUUUGUCGCAUCAAGAUACGUACACCAUCUUCUGCGUAUGAGCCAGUCUGUCUAGUGAUUUAAACCCAGCAGCCAGGCGACGAAAAUUUGAUUCGUCUGUUAUUUCCGUUUCCACGUUACGUGAUAAAAUCAUUAUACCUAGUACGAGCUAUAAUGCGAAAAGCAAACAAAUCAAGUUUUUAACGAGGUAUUGCUUAGUGAGACUUUGGAAGCUGGCAGGUGUAUUGUGACGAUCUUUUUCAGUAGAACAUAAUAGGUAUCUGAAAGAUCGAAUGCAACUUUGGUUCAUGUGAUUGCAAUAGUUGGAACGUAGAAUACACUGGAACCCAUAGAAUAAACGAAUAAUCGAAACCACUAUAAAGAGCGUCAAGUGUAGUAGAUAUCUUGAUACAUUUUUCAGCAAAUUUCAUCCAGACUUCGCCCGCAUCACACACGUUUGUGCACAAAUUCUUCGAAUCCUUUUAUAAAAGUGGCUGAUCGGCCGAAUCGAUGCAGAUCGUGAAGCCCGGAUGAAACGGUUGCAUCGGUCAUAUUCCUGUUCCGCGACGAAUAAAUGACCCAGUACGUGUAAGAAAUGUCGAAUCAUUUGAAAAUCUCAAAGGUUUAUAAGCUCGUCUACAUUCUAAUCGAUGAAAAUCACCAAAGCGCUUCAGAAACUUGGAAGAAAAACAAUCGAAUUCAUCAGAAAGUGAAUUGCAAUUAAGUAAAACAGAAAAUACAGUUAUUGUAAAUUUAUAAGAAGCUAUUAUGUGAAUUUCGUUUUUGAAAAAAAAAAAAACUUUUGCAACGUGAUCUCAGAUUACAAGCUUACUCCAAAUACACUAAGGCAGUUGAGCACGACUACAGCAUUGCAUUAGGCUACUUGUAACCAGCGUGACUUAUUGUUAGUCGGGGUCGUGGUAACGUCUCAACAAGAUGAAAACGAUAUUAUUCGAUGUCACGUUCAAUAUUCGCGGAGUCAAAUCGCCGCCAAGAAACUGUUGGGCGAACCUCUCUACAAGUUAUCACGCCGCUGCUCUUCGGGCACCGAUAACAUUUUGAUCUAGGUCUUAAUGGAAAGUUUCGAACCUUUGUCGAUCGAGAAGAUCCGUUUACACGCGAUUGUGAACGGUGUCGAAGAAUUGCGGAGAAGUUGACGGCUGCUAUUCCCUU
rnacentral:misc_RNA from 1 species